rnacentral:rRNA from 1 species
GGAUACGACCGUACCGCAAACCGACACUGGUGCGCGAGAUGAGUAUUCUAAGGCGCUUGAGAGAACUCAGGAGAAGGAACUCGGCAAAUUGACACCGUAACUUCGGAAGAAGGUGUGCCCUAUUAGUGUGUAGUGAACAACGAAGCAUGAAUGGGUUGCAAAAAAUCGGUGCUGCGACUGUUUAUUAAAAACACAGCACUCUGCAAACACGAAAGUGGACGUAUAGGGUGUGACGCCUGCCCGGUGCUGGAAGAUUAAAUGAUGGGGUGCAAGCUCUUGAUUGAAGUCCCAGUAAACGGCGGCCGUAACGAUAACGGUCCUAAGGUAGCGAAAUUCCUUGUCGGGUAAGUUCCGACCUGCACGAACGGCGUAACGAUGGCCACACUGUCUCCUCCUGAGACUCAGCGAAGUUGAAAUGUUUGUGAUGAUGCAAUCUCCCCGCGGAAAGACGGAAAGACCCCAUGAACCUUUACUGUAGCUUUGUAUUGGACUUUGAACAGAUCUGUGUAGGAUAGGUGGGAGGCUUUGAAGCAGGGUCGCUAGAUCUUGUGGAGCCAACGUUGAAAUACCACCCUGGUGUGUUUGAGGUUCUAACCUAGGUCCAUUAUCUGGAUCGGGGACAGUGCAUGGUAGGCAGUUUGACUGGGGCGGUCUCCUCCCAAAGCGUAACGGAGGAGUUCGAAGGUACGCUAGUUACGGUCGGACAUCGUGACGAUAGUGCGGUGGCAUAAGCGUGCUUAACUGCGAGACUGACAAGUCGAGCAGAUGCGAAAGCAGGACAUAGUGAUCCGGUGGUUCUGUAUGGAAGGGCCAUCGCUCAACGGAUAAAAGGUACUCUGGGGAUAACAGGCUGAUACCGCCCAAGAGUUCAUAUCGACGGCGGUGUUUGGCACCUCGAUGUCGGCUCAUCUCAUCCUGGGGCUGUAGCCGGUCCCAAGGGUAUGGCUGUUCGCCAUUUAAAGAGGUACGUGAGCUGGGUUUAAAACGUCGUGAGACAGUUUGGUCCCUAUCUUCCGUGGGCGCUGCAGAUUUGAGGAAGCCUGCUCCUAGUACGAGAGGACCGGAGUGGACACACCUCUGGUGUAUCGGUUGUCACGCCAGUGGCAUUGCCGAGUAGCUAAGUGUGGAAGAGAUAACCGCUGAAAGCAUCUAAGCGGGAAACUCGUUUCAAGAUGAGAUCUGCCGGGGCCUUGAGCCCCCUAAAGAGUCGUUCAAGACCAGGACGUUGAUAGGUCAGGU